UGUCGUCCUAUAGACCAGUGGUCCUCAACUCCAGUCCUCAGGGCCCACCUACCAGUCAUGUUUUUAGGAUUUCCUUAGUAUUGGGCAGCUGAUAUAAUUAGUGUCCAUCCAUCAGGAUUUACCACAGGUAUUCAUUCUGUGGGAUACUCCUAAAUCCUGACCGGCAAGUGGGCCCUGAGGGCUGGAGUUGGA